rnacentral:rRNA from 1 species
UACAGAGGUCCCAAGCGUUGUUCGGAUUCACUGGGCGUAAAGGGUGCGCAGGUGGGUUUGCAAGUUCGAUGUGAAAGCCCCGGGCUUAACCCGGAACUGCCUUUGAUACUGCAAAUCUCGAGUCCGGAAGAGGUGAGUGGAAUUCCUAGUGUAGAGGUGAAAUUCGUAGAUAUUAGGAAGAACACCAGUGGCGAAGGCGGCUCACUGGUCCGGUACUGACGCUGAGGUGCGAAAGCGUGGGGAGCAAACAGG